GCAGAUGCUUCUGCAGCUGUAUCGUCUCAUUCUGCCGUCUCUGCCACUAGUCAAGCUACUCAAACGAUGGACUUUACAAGUGAAAAACUGCACACAGAACACUGUAGGUACGAAGGCCAAGGAAAGGUGACUUCGGAAACUUGUCAUAGCAAGGUGUCUGUUGAGAUCUCCAGUUUUGAGUCAGACAUCACAUUUUUUGCCAAACGACACGAUCC